GAUCCUGACACAAAAUGACCAGUUUACAUUAAUUAGCUAAUCAUAUCAGCAGCACAUGUGAAAGAGUGAAAAAGUACUAGUCAGGUGAAAUCACGACCAUAGCCUACUUAUUAGGUUGUAAGAGUAGACUAAUUGCUAUAAAAGGAGGAAAGAAGCGAUUCCAAUCAUUGGCUGCACCCGAAAACAGGCAGCUGACUUGCGAAGGCACCCCCGGAAACAGUUUUGGAAAAGCUUCUGAGGCAGCCUAACAUACGUCAUUGCUAGGUUACAAGCUGCUCGGUACCGCCACCUGGUGCAUUCAGUCAGCGAUUUCAUUUAAUAAUAAUAAUCAAAUACGGCAUGUAGUAACUCUUAUGAUGAUUUUUGAAGAACUCGACGAACUCGCUCGCCAAAGGUCUGUGCACCGGAGGAAAAGACUGAGAAUGGCAGCUACUUUUUACUUAAAUGGAAGCACAGGGAGCUCACCAGUUUAUUCCACUCCUACACAUCUUUUUUGAAGGGGUGACACUCGGCCGGAUUUCCGGCUGAGUCGUGCGUCCAUUAGCCUUACAGCCCUUCUCCAGCUCCUGGACCAGAGGCGGGUUCAUGAGUGGGGUCCUACCAUUGAACUACUGGUCUUCAUUUUCUGGCUGGGCAGUGGAAGCUCCUACUGUGUGGUGUCCAGGGCUGACAUGUCCACAUCCACUGUUCACCAACUCAUCUAUCAAGUACUGGGGGCAAUGACAUGUUUGACACCACAUGUGAUAAGUGUCCCAAACACCUUGGAUGCUACAGAAACCGUAAACUGUUUCCCUCAAUCCAGCUGCAUGCUGUGACCACAACGCCAGGUUUAUUGAUUAUUGUCUUGGUUGGCUUUCCUGGCUCUGUGCACGACUCCAGAGUCAAGCAGCCUGUAAGAGGGUGGCACAACAGAGGUUUAAUGCACAUCAUGCCAAAGCCCGCUCAGCAUUUGGUACCAUGAAGGCCAGGUGGAGGGCUAUCUUCUUCCACACCCUGGAGGUUGACACAUCAUUCAUCCCAGCCUGCAUUCACUGGCCAUAAAAACAGUGCUGUGAA